UUUUUCUUUUCUUUUUUUUUUUUUUUUUUUUUUUUUUUUUUAAUCUUUUUAGGGUUGCACCUACAGCAUAUAGAAGUUCCCAGGCUAAGGGACCGAAUUGGAGCUGUAGCCACUGGCCUACGCCACAGCCACAGCCACAGCCACAGCCACAGCCACAGCCACAGCCACAGCCACAGCCACAGGGGAUCCGAGCCACACCUGGGACCUACACCACAGCUCACGGCAACACCAGAUCCUUAACCCACUGAGUGAAGCCAGGGAUCCAACCUGCGUCCUCAUGGAUACCCGUCAGAUUCAUCUCCAUAGGGCCACGACGGAACUCCCGAUUCUCCUAUUUUUUAAAAAAGGUAGGGAGUUCCCGUCAUGGCUAAACCAGGGUUAGCUGCUGUGAAUGGCAAGGGACCAGGAGUUACACUGUCCCCAAACUGGGACCCACCUGGUCUUGGCCAUGGCUCCCAGAUAGAGACGUGCCCUACUUACUGGUCCCCCAGAGGCAGAAGUCAGCUUCCUUUCAGCCUGAGGAAUCUCAGAGACAAUUUAGAAAGGCGAACUUUCUCUCAAGUCUCUGCCUCUGCCUGCUAGAAAAAGACGGCUCCCAGCUCUCAAAGGGUCUGCCCUGCUCACCCCCAGAAUGACAGGUGGACAGACAACAUUUCUGUUACCAGAAUCAGGCUGAAGAGAGCCUCCCACCCCACCCCUGAACCUCACGGAAUCCUCUCCUGGGGUGACCCAGGAGCGCCCCCUGCUGCCUAGCUUGUCUGAAGCCAGUGGCAGUGGAGGAAGGAAGGGGUGUGGAAGCCGAUUCUCACUGCCCCACCAGAAGGGGCCACACUUUCGGCUGCCCCACGGCCAUGCUGCCAGAGCCUGAAUCCGAGCUGGCUCCCCAGGCGUCGCCGAGGAGGGGACAACAGGAAAGACGACAGAGCAGGGUCCUGCAGCCGGGCCUCUAGGCCCAUGCCGGGAGAGAAGAGGCUGUGCCACAUUCAGUGAAUCACCUCAGUGAGGGUGGGGGGAGGCCCGCUUCCCCCCAGGACCUCCCCCAAGGUGCCAGUGAGACACGACCGAAUUUACCACCGAUAAUAUCGAUAACAGCAGCUGCUUCCAAAAGGAGCUCCAGCCCCACAUCCGUAAGCUCAGGAGAGGCUAGAAGAUUCUCCAGGUCUUUUAGUCUCUGAGUU
rnacentral:lncRNA from 1 species